CAAUCAGUCGCCACAGACGCUCCGCCUUCCUCUGAGAUCGACCAAUAGAAGCAAGCGCAUCUGCCGAUUUGCGGAGCCACCAGCCUCCGACUCGGACUAAUCACGAGAAAGAAGCGUUUACGGCCCGCCCUUAGGUCUUGAAAGAACCAAUGCGGGCUUCUGUGUCCUUAGUCCCGCCUCCACUCGGGCUACCUUUUUCCGCCCUUUUCCUUCACUUCCUGGAACCCGGUUAUGUUUGAAAAAUCCGCGAGCCGCACACGAUGGCGGCUGCACCAAUCCCUUCAGCAGCAGCUCGAUAUUGGCCAAUCACCGUCAGUAUUAUUGGAGAACCAAUUCCAAGACAACCAAUGGGAAAGGGAAUUUCUGGAGUAGCGUGAAGUCGCAGUUCUUCCAUCUUGGAACAGGGCCGCCCGGACCCUGCCCUCAGCCUGAGGGUGUUGCCUUGCCCACGUUGUCUGAUCUGGCUUCUGUUUAGUUGCGCGCGCGCGCACGCACACACACUAGAGUUCACACACACACACACACACACACACACACACACACACACACACACACCACACACCACACACGCACGCACGCACGCACACACGCUAGAGUUCCCUGGUGGAGGUCUGGAGAGAAACAGAUCCUCUUUACUGGUAAAGUCGGUGUAGACAGGAGUGCGUCCCUAGAGUCACGGUGGGAGAUGGCUGAGUAAGCUUGUGGAUGCUCGCGGGCGGAAACCACCGACUCGGGAACCGGAGAAAGGCAGAUGAUGUGUGCGACAGAAAGAGCCUCCAACCCUGGUCCGUCCUCUACUUGCGCCUCUCAUGGGGGCCUUGCGUUCUUCUGCUCCACACGGCGGUAAGAUUUCCCCAUUUAUAGAUGAGGAAACCGAUGCUCAGGUGAAAAGACCAAACUUCUGGAAGAUGGCCUCAGGAUUGGAACCUUUAAAGUCAAGACGUGCCAAGUCCCUACGAAAUGGAAAAACUUUGCAGGGACAAAAGACAUCCACCAGCCUUCUGUGAUUUGGGAAGUCGGCCCUGAGUAGACUUUGGGGAUUACUAAGAGACCUGGAUUCGGAGAAUAACAUUCAAUCAAAACUUUGUAGCUUGCUGUUCUUCUCAACUUUUUAUUAUUAAAUAAAAAGUCAAAUUCUUGAUUUUAA